UACGAAGGGGGCUAGCGUUGCUCGGAAUUACUGGGCGUAAAGGGCGCGUAGGCGGACAGUUAAGUCAGAGGUGAAAGCCCAGGGCUCAACCCUGGAAUAGCCUUUGAUACUGGCUGUCUUGAGUGCGGGAGAGGUGUGUGGAACUCCGAGUGUAGAGGUGAAAUUCGUAGAUAUUCGGAAGAACACCAGUGGCGAAGGCGGCUCACUGGACUGGUAUUGACGCUGAUGUGCGAAAGCGUGGGGAGCAAACAGG
rnacentral:rRNA from 1 species